ensembl:snRNA U6 U6 spliceosomal RNA
AUGCCUACUUCAGCAGCAUACAUACUAAAGUUGGAACAAUACAGAGAAGAUUAGCAUGGCCAGGGUGACACACAAAUUCGUAAAAUGUUCCAUAGUUGU